GGUGAGAUGGCCGAGCGGUCUAAGGCGCCAGACUAAGGAUCAAAGCAGUUGCUGCUUCUGACGGUGGGAUUCGAACCCGCUAUCUGGUCCUCCCGGGGGCGUGGGUUCGAAUCCCACUCUCAUCA